CAUCAUCAAUUCAUAGUCCGUUGGUAUUUAUAUAUCUGCCCUUCUGGAUAAUGAUUUUAAUUAGGGUUUUCUGUGUUUGCACCUUUUGUACAUGAAACGCAUUUAGGUUUUUAUAUGAAUUUUAUUGCUUGCUUCUUUGUUCUUCUCGAUUCAAUUCAUCUAAAUUGUUUUGAUUUUUAGACAAUUUUUCUGUAAUAAUCAUACUAUAUGGGCCUUUUUCUGCAGCAGGCUGAAAAAUUAAAACUAAAAUUAAAAUCAUUUAAAGGGGACUUUUUAUUAAUUAUCUUUGUUAGAUGAGAAAGCAUUGGACUUUACAUGGCCAAGUUGGUCCUUCUGGUCGUUUUGAAUGGUGACUUAAUUUUUGAGAAGUAAAAUGUUGGGGAGUUCGUUAAAUUGGGACUUGCUAGUUGGCUAGGGUUGAAUCAUAUUUGGUAUUGAAGUAGUUGGAGUCUUGUGUUUCUUUCAGGGAAGAUUAAUGUAAAGGAUGG
rnacentral:misc_RNA from 1 species